rnacentral:antisense_RNA from 1 species
GGAUAAUGCAAGUGUUUAACAGAUGCUUCACUAUUAAAAUAUUUUCCCCCCAAGUCUCAAAUAUUGAAGAAUCUCUAACCAGGUACAGUAUCACUCUGCUCUCUUUUCUGGUUGAAAAGAAAAAAAGAAAGAAAACGCAGGUAUUGCUUUUCGAAGUGCUUUGUAGGUAAUCGAGGGACACCAGUCCCAACGAAGACCUUGGGCGAUUUCAAAGUGCGGGCACCUCGAUUCCCCGAAUCUGUAGUGUGGCUGGUAUCGGUGUUUCCCUGGUUUAACUAGCCUGCUUGAAGGCGCAGAUCAUUCAUGGGGAAGUAAAACCGAAACCAGUCCUCUCCACCCCCUGCGGGUCUUCACUUUCCCAGUCUACAUCUGCCUGUGACUCCAGAAAGACAAACUGCAGAUUGGCCAAGCUGUUUAUUCUUGUUUGACUUUUUGUACAAAGUCACUUUAAAUCUGCUGCAGAAAGAAUAAAGCUCCUAGCCCUUUGGAUGGGCUCCUGCAGGCGUGUGGCUGUCCCUGGCCCACUUUUAAUUCUUUGAAAAUGGCUCUUCUGUGUAAAUCAGCUGCUGGGUGCGUUCGGUCACCUCGUAGGCCAGCCUAGUUUGUGUCAGCAGAACAGUAGUGAACUCAAAUCAGGUCGUAAGCCUUAUAUUUCACAGACAAUUAAAUCUUGGCUGCUGUUGAACAAAACUGUAAUAUUUACUCUGCUCUAUACCGAGGAGCACUUUUAAAGUAAAAAAGAAAAAAAACAAAACAAAUACUACACUUCAAAAAGAAAAUAUGACAAUGAAUCUCUUUUUAUGGAUUCUCUCUGCGUAAGUGGAAACAAUAUGAUUUAAAUCCCCAACACCCCAUCCCCCUUUUCAGACACAGCUGAAGUGAUACAGAUACUGUCUUCUAAUACAUAAUCUCCCUCUCUCGGGAGAGGCACCUACCUGUGCUACAUUCGAUUUAGUUUGUAAGGUUUCAGGCCCCUCCCCGACCCACGUAAUAUGUAACAAGGAUUAUCAAAUAAUAAGGUCUUGGAUGUGAAGUCUGCUUUACACAAGAAUUCAAGAAAGAUAGGCAGGCUUGAGUAAUUAUGUUACAACUUCUUAUUACUUUCCAAAUGAAUACCCAUUUUCUUCUCAUGUCAACUCCUAGAGAUGGGAUGCUGAGGCAGAGAAAUUUUUUAUGAGACUCUGGAGUACAUAUUAAAAUGUGCUUCCUUAUUAUUUAAGAAUGUGUAAGGUAUGGACCUACAUUUGUUUGCUGGUGGUCAUAAAAUAAAUUCAUAACCAUUGUUGGCCAAUAAGCAAUCUCCUUCACGCUUUAAAAGUUUUUGGUUUAUAAUCCCACCUGGAUUGUAUUUUCACGAUUCUGUAUCACUCUCCUAUUGCAAUAUUUUGGUUCUCAAUCUUAUGUAAAGCAAACCUCAGAAAUGAUCGUUUCCAUAAAAUUGUGCAAUGGCAAAGCCACGGAAUAAUAUUUUGAGUCCAUAUAGCCAUGCAUGCUCACGUAUAUAGCUCUUAUACAGUUUUCUAGCUAACCGAUUGCUUUGGUAUUUCAAGAAAUAGGAAGCAGUAGCUACCUAUUUGAAUGAAAGGAUACCAUUUCAUAAGAAUUCUAUUUUCACUGAAAAAAUUGGUCUGGCACAUUAUUCAAUGCAAAAGAUUAUAAUAUUACUUUCACGUGUGUUAAUCUGUUUAGCAUAAAACUGCUAGGGUGUCUUAACCAUUAACGUGUUUUGCCACACCACUUUCAAAUGGUGAUCUGAGAUAAUUACAAAGAUUUUGAUGUUAAUCCCACGUUAAAUGAACAACUAUGAAAAUAAUCUUAAAGCAUUAUUAUUCCCAUAUAAAUGCCAGCAAACCCAAUUGUGGAGAGAAUAUGAUUACUUUUUAUCUGACAUUAUCCUAUAAGGAUAUGGCUACAUUUAUUUCUUUUAAAAUUGGAGCAGUUUUAAAUUACUUUUUAACAGAAUUGUUUUCAACACAGCAUUUUCAGUGCCCAUAAACCAUAGCAACUUUGUACUGAUCGAUACAUAUUUUUCUACAUUAUUAUUCGUUAGCCUCUUUGCAAACUCACUAAAAUAGAAUAGUAUUAAAAUACGAACAUAUAGAGAACAAUUAUUAGGUUCUACAUAUUUAUUUAGGUAAACCAAUGUUAUUAAAAUUAAAAACAUGUGCCUGGCAUAUAAGUGCUUCUUUAGGAAUUCUUUUUUGGAUGCAUAGUUAUUAUUUUUUAAACAAACUCAGAUUUUCAAACUCUGAUUUUCUUCUCUGAACAGGCAUUGCAUUGUUUUAAACAGUAGCUCCUGGAAUAAUGCCACCUUUAGUAUUUUAGACUUUCAAACAACAAUUGGAAUUGGAUAAAUGCUUUCAGCUGAGAGCACUUUCUUAAUACCUUUGUAGGUAAUGGGAUUCUCUAUUUGUGCUGGGUGACAAACGGACAGUGCCCUGGACAGACUGCCUACCCUCUGCAGAAUCUACCAAAAAGUAGAGUUUUCCCAUGAGCUCACUGCUUGUGGUCCAUGUAAAAAUGAAAAAAAAAAAAAAUCAGAGAAAACGAGCAAGGCCUUUUCUAACUACAGUUAUGAAAUGAUGGCUUAAAGAGGUAUUUAGAAAAUAAGAGUGGAAUAAUACAGAAACAAAAUCUGAAAAAGAAAGUUUGCUUAGGAGCUGAUGCUCUUUGUCUACAAACAAGAGGGUAAGGAGCUGGAUCCAACUGAAUUGAAUUGUUUUUGUUUGCUUGUUUGUUUUCUUCCAUUCAGUGCCUUUCAAAUUGUUUUUUACUGGAUGAAGAAACUCAACCAAGAAAAUAUAUGUCAAUUCUUGUAUAUGGGACAAUAUUAGCUGCUGUGAUUUUUAAUACUAGCAUAAAAUAUAAGAAUGUUUUUAUUACUGUGACAUUGUUUUUUUCUAAAUGAAUGCAUAGUGUAACAAUUGGUGUCAAAAAGCAUUGAAUUUUUUUCAAAUGGAUUAAGCUGGAAUAAUAAAGUGUAUCUAUGAGAUGAUUUCUGUAAACUCUGACUUGCUGAGAAAAAAGUGAAAAAGCUUUUUCUGGAAGAAACAUGGCAACUUAACCAUUAUUAAUCUGGACUAAAUAAAACAGGAAACUGCUUCUUUACAUUUCUAGUAAUUUUUUCUGCUUUUCCAAACAUUGUUAAGUUCUAUGCAACUUGUGCUACUCAAGUAAAGAUGAUGUCAGUAAUAAAAUUACAGAAUCUA